CCAUAAUUUUUAUUCGAGAAUAUCUACAGUAGCAUAAUAUUCUUUUUCAAAACCAAAAAAGAUAAUGAACAUCUCUGUUAUAACACGUUUCUGUAUAGAGGCACAUAUGCCAAAUGUUUUAUCACGUAAAAAUAACACAGAAGAAAACAUUCAUCAAUCUUAAUAAUUUAUAUUUUCUAACGAAAAAUUCAGGGGAACUAUAUCAUUCUUGAACGAGGUAGCACAAUACAAUUUUUACAUCAUUUGUUAUUCUAAUUAACUAUGCAAAGUUAUUGGCAAGAAAGGAGUUUCUUAGAACCGUGGAAUAAUAGUUCUUUAACGGAAGCAAAACAAAACGAUAAGUAGGGAAGAGAGGCUAAAGUCACCUCUUGCGGGGCAGUAAAUGGGGACUUUUAGAUCGCAAAUCCACACUCCAAAUUUGACAAAUAGAACUCAAAUUUUACACACAAAAAAAACUUUGAAACUUAAAGGGAGAUGAAAGGACUGGAUAUUUCUUAAGAGAUCAGCUUUUUGUCUAUGUUGUGACUUAAAAUUUUUGCUUCCAAAAACCCCUCGUAAAGGCUCUGUAUUCUCUUGGUAAUAUAAGUGUUAGGUUCUAGUUUAUGGAGGUUCAUUGGGCGGUAGCUCCUUCAAAAUCGCCGUUUGAAUAUGAAACAUUAUGAGUUGUUGGACGGAUCUUCACGUGAUUGUAAUGAUCCAUUACAAAAAUGGAGCAGCAGCCUCUGUCCACUAAGGUGAAAUGGUUAGCAAACUUUUAUUUUUAGGGGAAAAAGACAUUUUUUUUGUGAGUAUGUGAGAGAGAGACAAAUAGUGAGAAGGAGUGGGAUUUGAGAGAAAAGAUGAUAACAAUAUGAUUUUAGGGCUUUGAGGGUUUUAAAGUCAUUUUAAGUAAAUAAAG
rnacentral:lncRNA from 1 species